rnacentral:rRNA from 1 species
GACGAACCGUGCGAACGUUAUUCGGAAUCACUGGGCUUAAAGGGAGCGUAGGCGGGCUAUCAAGUCUGGGGUGAAAUCCCACGGCUCAACCGUGGAACUGCCUCAGAUACUGACGGCCUCGAGGGAGAUAGGGGCAUGCGGAACUGUAGGUGGAGCGGUGAAAUGCGUUGAUAUCUACAGGAACUCCGGUGGCGAAAGCGGCGUGCUGGAUCUCUUCUGACGCUGAGGCUCGAAAGCGAGGGGAGCAAACGGG